rnacentral:lncRNA from 1 species
UUGAGUCAUCACAAAUUAUUUUUGGGCCUGGGUAAAGUGAAAUGAUCACAGCUUACUGCAGCCUCAACAUCUUAGACUUAAGCAGUCCUCCCACCUCAGCCUCCUAAGUAGCUAGAACCACAGCUGUGCACCACCACACAAGCCAAGUUUUUUUGUUUUUGAACAAAAACUUGUUUAAAACCAAGUGUUGCCCAGGCUGGUCUUAAACACCAGGACUCAAGAAGAACAACUGUGAAAUUUAUACAUCACCUCUCAACAGAACAAGUGGAGCCAAGAAGAAAUUGGAAUGAAAGAAAGAAGAAAGUAAUUUUCAACCUAGAAUUCUGUACCCAUUUUAAAUACUCUUCAGAAAAAACAGUGAGAAAAGACAUUUCUAAAGAAAAAACUCAAGGAACUUAAUCAACUGUAGAUUUUCACUGAAAGUAAUAAUUCAGGCAGAAAGAAAACUCUCUUAGAGAAUAGUUUUUGAGAGGUGGAGGAAAAUUAUAGGAUAAAAAUAGUGGUGUGGUGUGUGCAUGUGUGUGUGUGUAAAAUUGAUACAUAAUUGUUACAUAUCAUAAUAUGUCAUUGAUAUAUAGCAAGCUAAAAU